rnacentral:miRNA from 1 species
CUGGGGAUUCAAAGAAAGGCAAAAAAAGUGCCUGCUCUCAAGGAGCUCCCAGUAGAAUGCAGGAGUCAACAUGCAA